UUUUUCCAAGAGUUAACAGUUGUGGUGUGGUCUGUUGCUGUGAGUCAGUCUUCAGUUCAGGUAGAAUCUGCUGUGAAGGUGCUUCUCUUGUUUAAAUCAAUAGGCUUGUCAUUCUGAGCGGCAUCCUUUUUUCUUCAGCAAGCCCAACUCUUACACACUGAGAGUGUAGAAGUGUGUGUGUGCCAGCUGUGAACAUGUACAGCAGGGACUGCUGGUCAGUGCAGCAGCUUUCAUCAGCCUAGAAAGAGAGGGAAGGGCUUUUGUCAGUGAGUUUGCCUCCCUUUUGGCUCCGUACACGCAGAAGCUUUAAGAGGGAGAAACCUCUGUGCUGGGUUCAGUUCCUUUCUUUCCCCCCUCUUUUGUUUGUGAUAGUACUUCACACAGCAUGGCAGUUGUUUAUCUGAAGUUGGUAGAAGGUUCCGGAGCUUGUGUGGUUAAGGAUACUAGGGCAGUUCCACAUAUUCAUACUUGUUCCUGCAGGACUUAAUGGUUUUCCAUUCAUCUCAAUGCCAGUAGCUUGGCCGGUGCAGGACAGCCCAGAAUUUUGUGUGUCUUUGCUUUUUCACUUUAGAUUUUUUUUUUUUUUUUUUGCACCAAUAAGCUGAGCUGUAAAUGCCAUGUGACUAAUGGCUCUGAAGUGUCAUGUGUCAUGUUAGUGCUGAUUGGCUGAUGGCAGUGUGAGUAUUUGCACAGUCAUCAGCUGGGGCUUCAAAGGCAGCAGACAAGGAGAAAUAUAAGUCCAUUUCAUGGUUUAAACAGCCGUCCAAAGAAAGCCUUUCUGUCUCUCUCAUCCCCUCUUUCAAAAAUCUCAUGGAGAGGUUCAAGUCUGCUGGAUGUUGGCGAUGGUGUCUGCAUCAGUGAAGGACACCUCAAUAACAACUCCAUUGAUAUCUACAGUACACCUACUGCUGCACCAGAGAUGAAGAGACAGAGAUGUCAGGACCUUUACAUGGCAAUUUGCUUGCUGGACAGCCCACCUUCUUCAAAGAGCCCUGCCCUGCCAUCAUGGCGGUCACUCUGAUUGGCACCAAUGACGGCAACUCUCGAAUGGUGAGGUUACCAUGGCAACAGGGGGGUCCCUAGGGGCAAAAGCGGUACUGAAACGAAAAAUGAGUCAUCUGUUGAUUAGGUUAGGAAGUGCAUUUUAACCUUUUGCCAGUUCUUUGCCUGCUUUCAUUUGUAAGCAAAACGACAGCGGAAGCUGAAGAGCUUUAGAUUGUGUUUACCAUUGAUCAGUGAGUUGAUGGACCGUUUUUAGUUCCUUGGUCUUGACAGUCAGUUAUAUUUAACACAUUCUGUGAGCUUGUUAAUUAACACACAGUCGUGUAUCUGCCCUACUGUGCAGCCUGUAUGUGAACAGCUACAGUUAACUGUGCAUGUGUGUGUGUGUGGAGUGUGUAUUCACCUAAAGGAAGACUCACCUCUGAUUUAGCUCCUGUUUGACUCCAGUUAGAGCUCAGACAGUGUGUGAUAUUUACUGAAGCGCUUGGGUUGACCUAGGUGAUGCCGGGUCGGUGGUGUGUGUGUGCCGGUGUUAAUUGGGGGUGAAGUGGCAGUGUGAGAGGAAAAGGGAGGUGUUGAUGUGUGGACGUGUGUGGUGGUGAAAGCAAGCCACAGGUGACAUGACGCUUCUGUGACUGGAGAUGUACAUCCAGUUCAAUCCACGGUCUCGCCACAAUUACUGUUUUCUGUUCUGUUAUCUCUCUUUCUCUCAGUCUCUCUCACUGUCUUUUACACCUAUUCAGGCUUUCAAAGCGCUAAAGUGGGUGUUUGUGUUGUUCAGGUGACUGCCCAUAACAGCCAGUGUCCUGGCACUACUUCUGGAGGUCAAAUAGAUACAUAGCCAUUGACAUGUCUAUUUGUUUUUGGGUGAUCUGAUCACUCGGAGCAAAACAUUUGCGGAAACUGGGUGUGAUUACACAUUGAAAGGCAUCUGAUCUGAUAGACACAGAUCUGAUAAUUCAUCCAAAAAUGACAAUUCUGACAUGCUUUACUGGCAUGUGUGAAUGUGCAGUGUGAGUAUGUGUAUGUAUUUACAAGUAGUACUUUUAUUCAGUCAGGACGUAUUAAACUUAUCAAAAGUGACACUAAAGACAUUUAUAAUGUUACAAAAGAUUUCUAUUUCAAAUAAAUCCUGUUCUUUUGAACUUUUUUAUUCAUCAAAGGCUUCUAAAAUACUUACAGUAUAUUAUGGUUUCUAAAAAAGUAGCACAACUGUGAUAACCAAAAGAAAUAUUUCUUGAGCUCCAAAUCCAAAAUUACUGUACAUUUUAAAAUAUAUUAAAAUAGAAAAGUUAUUUUAAAUGUUAAUAAUAUUUCACAAUAUUAUUAUAUUCAUAUAAUAAUAUUAUACAACAUAUGUUUUAUUGUAUUUUUGAUCACAAAUGUAUAUUUAAAAAUUCUGACCAUAAAGUAUAUUUUUUCCAUACAGUGCAAGCCAGUGGGAUCCAAUGUUGUCUGAACCCCAGUGACUUUCAAAAUAUCUUCUUUAUUGUUCCACAGAAGGGAAAAUGUCAUAAGAAAGUCAUAUAAAAAGAAAAUAAGCAAAUGAGAUGAUGUUUCAUUCAUUUAAUUCAUUGAAUUAUUAAAAAUUGUAGAUAAACAAUGCUUUAGAUACUAUUUGGUUAUCUCAGAGAAUUGCUUGAUGGAAAUAUCUUUUCUCUUUGUGUUCUAUUGUUUCUAACAUAUCCAUAAGCGACCAAAAAUUUCUCUAAAUUACUCUAAACAUUGUGACCCCUUAAACUCGUGGUUUUCCAAACUUGAUGAAGACCUGCUCUACUUCUGAGAGCUGAAACACUGGCCGCAGUACAGUGCAACAGCUGUUCCUGUCUCAUUUUCUGCAGAAAACAAAAAGCUUUGCAUGGUCCCUCAAGUCAUUUUUUAUUUUUUUUAUUGACAGCUGUGGACACGAGUGCACAGUGAGUUUGGCCUCUCCAGCAGUCGGCUGAGAGAUCCUCUUCACUUGAGAGAGGGAAUUAGAAUUGGAAAUAAUCUGAUUCGCCCUCACAGUUUCACUCAUUUGCAUGCUAGAGGCGACACCUGUGGAACAUGCUAAUGAACGAAUGAAAUUAGAAUAAUAUUUAGUUUACUUGCCUCUCCAUAGGCUUGCGUGGGCAAUGUGAUAAGACAUUGUGUUUAUAUCGCUAUCCCACUUGUACGAUCGCACGAUCAUUGUGUGCAUCACACACUGUAAUGUAACAAUAUCCAGUGGCUUCUUCUAGCAGUGCUUUUUUAGCCUUUGUGAAAUGGGCAGAAUACGAUCCUCUAUUGAUUUUAAUUGUUUAUCUGUUUAAUCAGUUCCGCUUUAGUACAUAUGAGUAUGAGUAUAAGUUUGCAUGUGUCCAAUCGGAGGUCUUCUUCCUCUGUGAUGUUGAUGGCUUUGGGCUGAACUUUUCAGUAUGAGGUUCUGUUAUUUGGACAGAAAUCAGAGAUUUUCUCUUCCUCACAAUCUUUUUCUCUUUUUCUCAUUCUCCCCACUGUUACAGCACUUUUGAUCACCGCCUUACAGCCAUUCACCUGUUCCCAUCCCUAUUCCUAUCUGAUUCUGAUCUCUCUGUUGUGGACUUGCUCUUUACAGACAACAAUUUUCAGUUCACCAUAUUUUUUCCAAGUACCCCUUUGUCAACACCAGAAAUGGGUUCCUUACUAUUAUUUAGUAUUAUUAAAAGUCCCUAAUAUUAUAUAUGUAUAUAUAUGUAUGUGUGUGUGUGUGUGUGUGUGUGUGUCAUGACAGCUCUCAGAGGGAUUGGCAUGGUAAUGCAUAUGACAAUGUUAAUGUGUUUGUUUUUGGCGGAAUAAAUCUGCUACGCUGCUGCUGCUUAUGUUGCAGCAGAGCAAGUACUGAUACUUGCUACUUCCAAUACAUCCACAACAUUCUGCUGUGAGCAUGUAAGUAAUACUGAUGCCGCACAUAU